CUCAACUAAUGGGAGCGUCGCCGGUGUGUGAGAAUUAAGCUCACAGUUACGAGAUGGUGAAAAUCCCCGGAG
rnacentral:sRNA from 12 species